GCAUUUGUCAGAUAAACAAAGCUGUGCAUUUUCAAAAACAUACACACUUACAUAUGGGCAUGCAAACUGUACGCAUUUGUCUGCAACGGCUCCCUAUAGGCAUGGAUUAACGGCUUGACACAGACAACAGGCUGACUUUCCAACAAAAUACCCCAUCCCAAUUAGCAUUGACAACAAAAAACAUACCAAUCGUCAAUGUCUAACUGCUUACCUACAAAAAGUGCAUGCUUACAUAUGUACACACAUACAUACAUACAUACAUAAAUACAUACAUUUAUAAGCUACCCAAAAUGCUAUGCGUCGUAGAAAGAGAGCGCGAGAGUGUGCUCAGAUAACGAAUAGCUCUAGUUUGGUGGGAAAAAGUUUGGUGGUAUCUUGCAUAUCUGGCCAACUAACUAAACAACCUUUUGGCGCAAGUGCGGCAGUGACGUGGUAAUUGGAUUUUUACAGUGGGUGCCAUUGGUGAGAGGAAGAACCAGGUAUUGCGAGCGGCAAGAAGGCAGUGGAUGCGUCGCGAUAUAAAAGUUAAGGGGCGGUCAAGCUGAUGAAGCUGCAAAAAAUUACUUAGUAACAAGUGAGUCUUUUAUAAAGGGUGGUUCCAUUUCAAGGGCCGAUGUUGAAUGUGAACCACACAUAAACGUCAACGAUACCGUUGGACUUCCUUCUUUGAGGUUAUUUGACAGAAAAGGUGUACGUCGGUAAGCCAGCAACAAUUCAAGAGCUAAAGGAUGAGAUCAUUCGACACAUUAACGGCAUAGAACCUCAAUUAUGCCUCAGCGUCAUCAAAAAUGUGGACCAUCGGAUGGAGGUGUGCCGCCAAGGCCGUGGCGGCCAUUUGGCCGAUAUUUUGUUCCAUACGUAAUUGAGCCAUACCAAUAUUAUCAUAAUAAGGAGAAAUGACAACAAUUUCCUAAAAAAAUUAUAUUUUAUUCAAAAUCAACACCGGCCCUUGAAACUUAACCACCUUUAUAAAGCUUGGUUUGGACUUACGGUAUACAAUUCCGGCGAUGCCCUAGCCAAAAGUGCAUCACCGCUAGUCUCCAUCAAUGGAUCCAAAACAAAAUAAGGAUUAGAGACUUUCAUUGAUCUAGGCAAACCAACUGUAUCUGAAGUAACGAAGCGAUUUGCCAUAGCUCACAAACAGUGCUAGUUUACAGAAACCGACUCAUCUAACACCGCUCUCCCUCGGGGCCUGUCGAAACCGCAAGUUUCCUGGGCUUACCUUUAGAUGAGUUAGACCAAGACGACCGGUGAUAUACACUACACUGGCAGGGCUUAGUAUUGCUGCUACAACAACAAUAACAAGCUCACAAACAGCGACUACAUAAUAAUCGUAUCAAUUAUGCAGAAUCCAACUUACUUCGGCUGAAUUCUUCUCAAAAAAGUUUAAAACACACUUCGGGAGCAGUCCUUUUGGAGAGCGAAUAUGCUUCUAAAUUAUCAAAUGAA